AAGGAUUUAAGUUAAACAAACUAGCAUCCUUCAAAGAUGAAAAUAAAGAAUAAUCUUUAAGCCUUA
rnacentral:tRNA from 1 species